rnacentral:rRNA from 1 species
UACAUAGGGUGCGAGCGUUAUUCGGAUUUAUUGGGCGUAAAGAGCUCGUAGGCGGUUCAACUAGUCGGGUGUUAAACCCCCAGGCUCAACCUGGGGCCGCCACCCGAAACUGUUGUGACUAGAGUUUGGUAGGGGAUCACGGAAUUCCUGGUGUAGCGGUGGAAUGCGCAGAUAUCAGGAGGAACACCAGUAGCGAAGGCGGUGAUCUGGGCCAAUACUGACGCUGAGGAGCGAAAGCGUGGGGAGCGAACAGGAUUAGAUACCCUGGUAGUCCACGCCGUAAACGGUGGGCACUAGGUGUGGGGACUUUUCAACGGUUUCCGCGCCGCAGCUAACGCAUUAAGUGCCCCGCCUGGGGAGUACGGUCGCAAGACUAAAACUCAAAGAAAUUGACGGGGGCCCGCACAAGCAGCGGAGCAUGUGGCUUAAUUCGAUGCAACGCGAAAAACCUUACCUAGAUUUGACAUGCUGGGAAAAGCCACAGAGAUGUGGUGUCCUUCGGGGCUCAGCACAGGUGGUGCAUGGCUGUCGUCAGCUCGUGUCGUGAGAUAUUGGGUUAAGUCCCGCAACGAGCGCAACCCUUGUUCUAUGUUGCCAGCACGUAAUGGUGGGGACUCGUAGAGGACUGCCGGGGUCAACUCGGAGGAAGGUGGGGACGACGUCAAGUCAUCAUGCCCCUUACGUCUAGGGCUGCACACAUGCUACAAUGGGCGGUACAGAGGGCUGCUAAACCGCGAGGUGGAGCCAAUCCCUAAAACCGCUCUCAGUUCAGAUUGCAGGCUGCAACUCGCCUGCAUGAAGUUGGAGUUGCUAGUAAUCCCGGAUCACACUGCCGGGGUGAAUACGUUCCCGGGCCU